rnacentral:rRNA from 1 species
UACGGAGGGAGCUAGCGUUGUUCGGAAUCACUGGGCGUAAAGGGCGCGUAGGCGGACUUGUAAGUCGGGAGUGAAAACUCGGGGCUCAACCCCGAGCCUGCUUCCGAAACUGCGAGUCUUGAGGACCGGAGAGGAAAGUGGAAUUCCUAGUGUAGCGGUGGAAUGCGUAGAUAUUAGGAAGAACACCAGUGGCGAAGGCGACUUUCUGGACGGUUCCUGACGCUGAGGCGCGAAAGCUAGGGGAGCAAACAGG